rnacentral:rRNA from 1 species
UACGUAGGGUGCAAGCGUUGUCCGGAAUUAUUGGGCGUAAAGAGCUCGUAGGCGGUCUGUCGCGUCUGCUGUGAAAACUCAGGGCUUAACCCUGAGCUUGCAGUGGGUACGGGCAGACUAGAGUGCGGUAGGGGAGACUGGAAUUCCUGGUGUAGCGGUGAAAUGCGCAGAUAUCAGGAGGAACACCGGUGGCGAAGGCGGGUCUCUGGGCCGUAACUGACGCUGAGGAGCGAAAGCAUGGGGAGCGAUCCGG